rnacentral:lncRNA from 1 species
CCUUCCACUUCAGCCCUUAAACCUGGGCUGACCCACUCCAGGAUGGUGAGGUAAAUAACUCCGCUGACACUCUCCAGUCAACCUGCUAACGCAAAGAACAUGCACCAGCAUUCUAGACAACAGCCCUAGACCGCGCCGCUUGCCCUCCUCUUCACUGCGGUCCACAGCCAGUUUUGACUUCUCCAGUCAGAUCCUGGCUCUGAGCCCUUCCUUCACUCCCACAGUUGGGCAGACCUGAUUCUCCGUCACUUUCCCAGACAGUUCCUGGUUCAGCUUGUUUCUUUGUUUCUGGCCCCGAGAGGAAAAUGUCCUGCUCUAAACCAACUUCUCUGGAACCCACUGGCAGGAUGUGACCUUGGGCAUACUGCUACUUUCCCCUUUCCCUGGACCUCACUUCUAUUCCUUCUUGUAAGUAUUUUUCUUUCACUGACAUACAGUGAUCCUGAGAUCAAAUAGCUCUAUCACACAGUUUUAUUUAGAUACAAAUGGAUUUCUGAUAAAGGAGUCAGGUCACUUUGCCCAUAAAGUUAUAUAAAUGGUAAACAAAACAGUAAAUAAAUGUUAUGUGAUUUUAUCCAAGCACCUGCUCCUGCUUCUGGCAGAGCUGAGACAGCAGAUAUGCCAUUUGUCUGGAGCUCUUUAGCUUCACUGCACAAUGUAGUCAUUCAACAAAUAUUAUUGUGUAUCUAUAGGGGGUGCUGUGCUAUGCUCUGAGAACUCAGUGAUGGACAAGACAUAUGUGAUCCUCAUCCUCUGCAAUCACAAUAUAAUGGCAGAGAGUGACAAUUGAAUCAUUUAGAUACUAAGUAGGAGGUAAGGCAUCAGGCAUCUGCUCUAGUUUUCCAAGGUUCCUGGAAACUUCUAGAAGUUGUGAAGGAGCCAAAGUGUGGGGUUGUCUCUAUUAAUUGACCUAGUCUUUCUUUCAUAAAUACAAAGGAAAUCCAGGAUCACAAGCUUUUUGAGGAAAAUCAACAGGUUAAAAAAGAAAGACCAAGAUGAGAAAACAAAACAAGAAACUAGUUCAAAACAAACUCUAAAAAAAAGAAAAUCUGACCUUGGAGGAAACAGAAUAUUCAGGAAAAGAAGGAAAAUUUGAAAUGGUUCUUAAUAUCUUCAGGUAUCUGUGAAGAUACUGCACUAAUGGAGCAUGAUGGGCUGCUGAAAACGAGGCAUUCAGAAAAUAAUUGAUUGGAAAUUAAAAAUGUGAUUUCUGCAUUAAAAAUUUAGUAGUAGGGCUGGAUGAUAAAAUUAAACUGUCAAGAACAUGGAACAAAAGAAAAAGGAUACAAAACAUGAGAGAAAAGACAUGAAGCACCAAACCAGUGUAUCAGACUGAAGAACUGAACCCAGUAAAUGAAAAGAGUACAUCACUGAGGAAGGAAAAAAACAAAUUUCCCCAAGCCAAAAAAAAAGACCAGAUCUUCAGAAUGAAAUGUGUCCCCCAAAAGCUAAGCAGAAGGAAUGAAAAAAGAUAUGUAUACAGAUACAUCGGUGUAAAAUUUCACUAAGGAUAAAGAAACACUCCUAAAAGCUGCCAUAAAGAAAAAUAAAGCCCACAUAAAUAGAUGAACUACAAAGGAACAAAUAUCAGGUCAACUGUAGACAUGGUAUCAUCAAUAUUGGAAGCUAGAAUACAAUCUAGCAAGGCCUCCAAGGUGCUGAGAAAAUGGAAUCUGUGACACUACAUCAAGUGGCACGGCUGUCCCAAGAGAUGGAUGGAGAGAGGCAGCAGACACAAGCGAAGCACCUGGGUCCCUCCAUGUAGAUAGAAGGUACAACUCACAGUCACACAGCACACAGGCCAGCAGCACACCCAGUCAGAGUGCACACUCUCUGGCCUGCACAUCUUCCUGGAGGCACACAGCUGCUGCUCUACCACCUGGUUCAGGUGAGCAUUCCAUUCAAAAGCUCUAUUUGGUGUUUUUUUUGUACUGAACCCUAUUCCCCACUCUGGUUUCUUUCCUGCCAGCCCACCAGGAGUGAGUAACUUGUUAUGACUUCAACACGUUCCAGAAUGUUUAUUGCAGACAGAGCAAAUCCAAGGUCACUCCCCCAAAGUCAUUCUCCAGGUGUGCUUGCCCUAUGGCAGAUCCACAUGUGAGGCCUCCUUGAAGGCAGUUCCUGCUCCAGUCAGUCACCAAGAGGACUAAAUUCCUUCCAGAACAGCAGGUCUCCUCAUGGGAUAAUGUGGAGGAGGGUGCAGAUGACUGACAUUCACCAUCUCUGACGGUCGGGAAGUAGGAGGUCACUCAUCUACAAUUCUGGUAAUAACCAAAACAAGAAGUAAAGUUAGAAAUGGUUCAAAGUGCUUGCCUUUAGGGAGUUAGACUGGUCGGCGAGGCAGCAAAGUUUAAAAGACUAGUUUUUC